ACAAGAAAAACAGUGUUUGGGGAGAUAACUCUUAUAUGGGAAAGUAUUUAGUUAAGCAGAGUUGGUUUCAAAAAGCGUAUUACCUGUUUGAUAUCAUAUUCCAAAUAUCAAAGCGACAUCUUGCGAAAACAAAAAACAGCGAAGGAAAAAAAUUAGGCGGAAGAAAAAAAAAAAAUAAUAAUCAGAAGAAAUCCAAUAGGUCUUUCCACGGAAAAGUGGAAAGACCUAAUUA
rnacentral:lncRNA from 1 species